CCAAAGGAAAACAAAGAAGAGAAAUCGCACAAGGAGGGGAAAAAUUCACUCCUUGAAAUUUCAUCUCUAAAAUUAUAAUUUCUUGGUAUUUCCACUAAAUCAAGGGUCCUCUAUAACAUGGUAAAUUUAUUUUGGAAGAUAGAAGGCUUGUUUGGUUGAUUUGAAGCUUUGGUAAAGUGAAGAAGUUGGAAGGAAAAGAUUUUGGAGGAAACGAAAAUUGAACUUGGACAACCGUAAAAGGCCAAAAAGGUACCGAAGUUCGAUUUGCUGAUCCACCUGUUUAGGAUAUUUGCUGCGUCGUUGACAGUGCUCUCUUGUUCGGAGCUUGUAUUUUGGUACUGACUUUAUCUCUGUAUAUUUGGAUAAUUUGGUCAGAGGUACGACGGGGCCUUGUCCCGUCAUAUGACUAUGCUAUCAUCUGUAGAGGUCUGUAGACAGAGUUAUGUUGUGGGUUUUGUAUAUAUGGUUUGGGUUUUGUGUGUUU